AGCAGCCGCGGUAAUUCCAGCUCCAAUAGCGUAUAUUAAAGUUGUUGCAGUUAAAAAGCUCGUAGUUGAAUUUCGGGAUCAAUAUGUCGGUCGUGCUUUUUGGUACGUACUGGCGUCAUUGGUUUCUCCUUUCUGACGAACCAUGAUGUCAUUAAUUUGGUGUUAUGGGGAGUUAGGACUGUUACUUUGAAAAAAUUAGAGUGUUUAAAGCAGGCUCACGCUUGAAUACAUUAGCAUGGAAUAAUGAAAUAGGACGUAUGAUCCUAUUUUGUUGGUUUCUAAGAUUGACGUAAUGAUUAAUAGGGAUAGUUGGGGGCAUUAGUAUUCAAUUGUCAGAGGUGAAAUUCUUGGAUUUAUUGAAGACUAACUACUGCGAAAGCAUUUGCCAAGGAUGUUUUCAUUAAUCAAGAACGAAAGUUAGGGGAUCGAAGACGAUCAGAUACCGUCGUAGUCUUAACCAUAAACUAUGCCGACUAGGGAUCGGAUGAUGUUAAUUUUUUAAUGACUCAUUCGGCGCCUU
rnacentral:rRNA from 1 species